ACCCCGGGAGGGGAGUGAAAUAGUACCUGAAACCGUCUGCUUACAAACCGUUGGAGCCUCCUUAGUAGGGGUGACAGCGUGCCUUUUGAAGAAUGAGCCUGCGAGUUAGUGCUCAGUGGCGAGGUUAACCCGAGUGGGGAAGCCGUAGCGAAAGCGAGUCUUAAUAGGGCGUUUUAGUCGCUGGGUCUAGACCCGAAGCGAAGUGAUCUAUCCAUGGCCAGGUUGAAGCGACGGUAAGACGUCGUGGAGGACCGAACCCACUUCAGUUGAAAAUGGAGGGGAUGAGCUGUGGAUAGGGGUGAAAGGCCAAUCAAACUUCGUGAUAGCUGGUUCUCUCCGAAAUGCAUUUAGGUGCAGCGUUGCGUGUUUCUUGCCGGAGGUAGAGCUACUGGAUAGCUGAUGGGCCCUAAAAGGUUACUGACGUUAGCCAAACUCCGAAUGCCGGUAAGUGAGAGCGCAGCAGUGAGACGGUGGGGGAUAAGCUUCAUCGUCGAGAGGGAAACAACCCAGACUACCAACUAAGGUCCCCAAGCGUGUGCUAAGUGGGAAAGGAUGUGGAGUUGCACAGACAACCAGGAGGUUGGCUUAGAAGCAGCCACCCUUGAAAGAGUGCGUAAUAGCUCACUGGUCAAGUGAUUCCGCGCCGACAAUGUAGCGGGGCUCAAGCACACCGCCGAAGCCGUGGCAUUCACACAACAACCUGCAUUCGUGCCAGGUGUGUGGAUGGGUAGGGGAGCGUCGUGUGGGCAGUGAAGCGGCGGGGUGACCCAGUCGUGGAGCCCACACGAGUGAGAAUGCAGGCAUGAGUAGCGAAAGAAGGGUGAGAAACCCUUCCGCCGGAUGACCAAGGGUUCCUGGGGCAGGCUAAUCCGCCCAGGGUAAGUCGGGACCUAAGGCGAGGCCGACAGGCGUAGUCGAUGGACAACGGGUUGAUAUUCCCGUACCGGCGAAGAACCGCCCAUACCGAGCCCGGUGAUGCUCAGCACCUGAAGCCGUCUAGAUCCCUUCGGGGACGUGGCGGGGGAGCGUGCGAACCAAACCGGUAUUAGGUAAGCGUAUUAACAGGGGUGACGCAGGAAGGUAGCCCAGCGUGGCGAUGGUAGUCCACGUCCAAGGUCGUAGGGUGAGAGGUAGGCAAAUCCGCCUCUCGUGAGCCUGAGAACUGAUGGUGACCGCUUAUGCGGGAUGAUUGGGUGAUCCUAUGCUGCCAAGAAAAGCCUCGACGCGAGGUUCUAGCCGCCCGUACCCUAAACCGACUCAGGUGGUCAGGUAGAGAAUACUAAGGCGAUCGAGAGAAUCAUGGUUAAGGAACUCGGCAAAAUGCCCCCGUAACUUCGGGAGAAGGGGGGCCUGAGGCGUGUACCCACUUGCUGGGGAAGCGUUCGAAGGCCGCAGAGACCAGGGAGAAGCGACUGUUUACUAAAAACACAGGUCCGUGCGAAGUCGCAAGACGAUGUAUACGGACUGACGCCUGCCCGGUGCUGGAAGGUUAAGAGGAAGGGUUAGCUCUCGGGCGAAGCUCAGAAUUGAAGCCCCAGUAAACGGCGGCCGUAACUAUAACGGUCCUAAGGUAGCGAAAUUCCUUGUCGGGUAAGUUCCGACCUGCACGAAUGGCGUAACGACUUCUCGACUGUCUCAACCAUAGGCUCGGCGAAAUUGCACUACGAGUAAAGAUGCUCGUUACGCGCGGCAGGACGGAAAGACCCCGGGACCUUUACUACAGCUUGAUAUUGGUGUUCGGUUCGGCUUGUGUAGGAUAGGUGGGAGACCGUGAAGCUCACACGCCAGUGUGGGUGGAGUCAACGUUGAAAUACCACUCUGGUCGAAUUGGAUGUCUAACCUCGGUCCGUGAUCCGGAUCAGGGACAGUGUCAGGUGGGUAGUUUAACUGGGGCGGUUGCCUCCCAAAAUGUAACGGAGGCGCCCAAAGGUUCCCUCAGCCUGGUUGGCAAUCAGGUGUCGAGUGCAAGUGCACAAGGGAGCUUGACUGUGAGACAGACAUGUCGAGCAGGGACGAAAGUCGGGACUAGUGAUCCGGCACUGGCUUGUGGAAGCGGUGUCGCUCAACGGAUAAAAGGUACCCCGGGGAUAACAGGCUGAUCUUGCCCAAGAGUCCAUAUCGACGGCAAGGUUUGGCACCUCGAUGUCGGCUCGUCACAUCCUGGGGCUGGAGUAGGUCCCAAGGGUUGGGCUGUUCGCCCAUUAAAGUGGCACGCGAGCUGGGUUUAGAACGUCGUGAGACAGUUCGGUCCCUAUCCGCCGCGCGCGCAGGAGACUUGAGAAGAGCUGUCCCUAGUACGAGAGGACCGGGACGGACGAACCUCUGGUGUGACAGUUGUCGUGCCAACGGCACUGCUGUUUAGCUACGUUCGGCAGGGAUAACCGCUGAAAGCAUCUAAGCGGGAAGCUCGCUUCAAGAUGAGGUCUCCCACAGGGUUAACCUGGUAAGGCCCCCCACCAGACCAUGGGGUUGA
rnacentral:rRNA from 1 species